rnacentral:rRNA from 1 species
GAUGAACGCUGGCGGCGUGCCUAAUACAUGUAAGUCGAGCGAACAGACGAGGAGCUUGCUCCUGUGACGGUAGCGGCGGACGGGUGAGUACCACGCUGAUAUCCUACUUAUAAGACUGCGAUCUCUUCGUGACACCGGCACAAAUUCCCGUUAAUAUAUCGUACCACCUGGUUGAAUAUGUAAAUGCGGUUUUGCUGUCACGUCUAGCUGGAUCCUCGCCGCUUUAGCUUGUUGGUAAGGUAACGGCUUAGCAAGACAACGAUGCGUAGCCGACAUGAGAGAGUGAUCAGCGACACUGGAACUGAGCCACGGCACAGACUCGUACGCGAGGACGCAAUGGGGAAUCUUCAGCACGGGGCGAAAGUCUGACGAAGCCACGCCGCGUGAGUAAUGAAGGUCUUCGAAUCGUAAGACACUGUUAUUAGGAAAGAACAAAUGUGUAAGUAAGUAUGCACGUAUUGAGGGUACCUAAUCAGAAAGCCACGGCUAACUAGAUA